rnacentral:lncRNA from 8 species
UUCUUGAAGGUUCCCCCAUUUCCACAGAGGAACACUGGAGCUCUGUCAGAGUGACCAUCGGGUUCUUGGUCACCUCCCUGACCAAGGCCCUUCUCCCCCAAUUGCUCAAUCUCAUAGCAAAGUGUCUGAAUACUUAUGUAAAAAUAUUCUACAAACCCGUUUUUGCUUUGUCAUUAUGGGGUAUGGUGUGUAGCUUGAUGAGGGAAAAAAUGUAUUUAAUUAAUUUUAGAAUAAGGCACUGUAUAUUGUAUAGAAAUUGUUAUAAUUGUAAUUUUCCUCUUGGAAUCAGUGCCCAUUGAAAGACGUGUUGGUAAUUAUAAUGUAAUUAAUGUAAUUAUAAUGUGUGUGUUUGUGUGUGUAUGUGUGUUCCAGGAGGCCUGUGUGAGGAUGGAGGAGGGCAUCCACAUGGAGAGGCACUGUGCCCAGCUAGUGGAACAGCAUGGGGCAGCCCAGGACUGGCUGAGGGAGCAUGUGAAGGGUCUGGGCCCGCAGCCCACAGACAGACAGGCUCUACACAGCUACGCCAACACCCUGAAGGCCCUGCUCCAGACUGUCGACAGGGAGGAGAGGGAGAUGAGGGAGCUGGACGCAAUCCGAGACACCCUGCUGAGCCGCUGCACCCCUGCCGGUCGGGAUACCCUGACCCUGGAGGUCAGCCACCUCCAGGACCUCCUCACUUCUUCUGAGAGAGAGAUGAGGGAAAGGCUGGCAGGCUGCGAGGCCCAGCUGAAGGAGCUGGAUGCGAAGAUGGCCAAGAAGGCCCAGGGCCUGAGGGAGAGGGCCAAAGCACUGCAGUGGGAGCUCCGUUCUCUGGACCAGGCCCUGAGCUACAGCGAGCCACACCCCAACAUAGCCCAGCUCCAGCAGCACUGGCACAGCCUCAAGAACUGCGAGAGGUCGUUGGAGGGGUUAGGGCUUAAAGUUCAUGACCUGCGUCAGGCUGCCAGAUCUGCAUCCACAGAGGAGGACCUUCCCGCUGAAGUCAUCUCCAUAAUGGAGUUACUGAGCCAGCAGCACGACAGGUACUAGACUUGGCAUCCCAAACAUUCAGCUCAUUUAUCAAACUGUGCAGUGCACAGAACCUCUUCCUGUUGCUCUCCAAGUUUAAACUCAGCUGGCUCUCUUCCAUUUCAAUUUCAGUUUUAAUUGUUAUUACUCCCUUAUAUCAUAGAUAACGGAACAUGCUGAUCUUUCUUUGUAGUUUGAGGGGUAGCAAGUUGCAAAAGAUAGAGACAUGGAAUUCUUAUAUACAUGAGUAGCUGGGAUGUUUAGUAUAGUAGCUAUUAACUAAUCUAAGAGAUUGUAUCAGCUUGUACAUAUGAAUAUCCUGUCAGUGUGCUGAUGCUAUUCUCUCUCUCUCUCUCUCUCACUCUCACUCUGUGUGUAGUCUGAAGACCAGGUUGGGUGAGAGGCAGAGCUGCUGCACUGAGAACACAGCUCACUGCCUCACAGCCUCUGUUCAGCUUCUGCAGCAGUGGAACCACUCCUCACACACACGGACAGCCCCCUCCAUCCAGGUUAUAGCACAGGCCUCUCAAUCAAACAGAAUGAAUGUUGAUAUGAUGAAGUUUAAAGUCUUCAAUAUAUCUAAAUCGAUAUUUAAUUCGGUUUGUGUCAGCUUUUGUACUUUCAUUGCACAAUCUAGUUUUAUGAGCAUCACAUGCAAUACAAUUGAAAGUUUCCCAGUAAUGUUGGUGUCAAUAUCGGGUGUAUGAGAGGCGAAGUCAGGUGCAGGAGAGAAGCGAAAUAUAACCAAGCGCACUUUAUUAUAGUUCCAAAAUACGAGAGCAUUACAUAAAUAUAAAUGCGCUCAAAACCACGGAACAUAACCAAAGUAAAGCGCGUAAAUCAAACACCACGAAAACAUGAAACAAUUACACACAAAACAUGAUGGGAAACAGAGGGUUAAAUACAAGUAGAUUGAUUGGGGAAAUGAAAACCAGGUGUGUAUGGAAACAAGACAAGACAAAUGGAUAUAUGAAAAAUGGAGCGGCGAUGGCUAGAAAGCCAGUGACGUCGAUCGCGGAACUUCACCCGAACAAGGAGAGGAGCCGACUUCGGCGGAAGUCGUGACAGUUAGCUACCUGGGUAUUGGGAGCAAAUUAUUGGAACUGUAGAGGGAACACAAUAUUCCUGUAUGCCAUGCUGAAGUAAUUGCCAGGGUGCAUAAGUGUGUCGAUGUUUUGAAUUUGGUCAUUAUUUCCAAUUAUUACAGGAACAUUAUCAAGGACUUUAUUUAGUGCCUAUGGGUACAUCCUGUAAUACGUGACGUAGGUCCACUCACUGUGGUCCAUUUGCUAGAUUGUUGAAACAACAUGAAUCAGAGCUAGUGAGGUCAGGGAUAUAAACUAUUCCAAGAACUCAGAGUUUUUGAGUAAACAUGGAAACACUCAUCACUCACUGAUGGUAGAACAUGUGAC